AGUGAACGCUGGCGGUAGGCCUAACACAUGCAAGUCGAACGGCAGCACAGUAAGAGCUUGCUCUUACGGGUGGCGAGUGGCGGACGGGUGAGGAAUACAUCGGAAUCUACUUUUUCGUGGGGGAUAACGUAGGGAAACUUACGCUAAUACCGCAUACGACCUACGGGUGAAAGCAGGGGAUCUUCGGACCUUGCGCGAUUGAAUGAGCCGAUGUCGGAUUAGCUAGUUGGCGGGGUAAAGGCCCACCAAGGCGACGAUCCGUAGCUGGUCUGAGAGGAUGAUCAGCCACACUGGAACUGAGACACGGUCCAGACGCCUACGGGAGGCAGCAGUGGGGAAUAUAGGACAAUGGGCGCAAGCCUGAUCCAGCCAUACCGCGUGGGUGAAGAAGGCCUUCGGGUUGUAAAGCCCUUUUGUUGGGAAAGAAAAGCAGCAGGUUAAUACCCCGCUGUUCUGACGGUACCCAAAGAAUAAGCACCGGCUAACUUCGU
rnacentral:rRNA from 1 species